UUGGCUGCAGAUGCCUUUGUCGCCGGCCCGGGUGGUCCAGCCCAGGGUCAGCUGUCCGAAAGGGCCACGAGAGGACGCGCAGUGGGUAGGGGGGGGCGCAGGCUGCAACCCAGGAACGCGUCGCGGAAGCGGUCCGGGAUGCUGCAGUACCCCAGGUUCAGGCGCGCCCCCUGCGCCCAUAGAGAGACUGGGCAACCAGACCAGAAAAUAAAGAGCUUACUUUAGAGCAGGAUAUUUCUAAAGAGGAAUCAUCUGCUGGUGUGUUAAUAGGAAUAUUUUCAAAGAAAAGUUCCAGUGAAUGUGAUAAAUUGUUAGAGAGUCAGGAGAAAAAUCACAAGAAACAUUUAAUACAAGA